AUAAAAUAGAAUCAGAGACAUCAUGACUCAGUGUGAUAUGUAAUUAUA
rnacentral:guide_RNA from 1 species